UGCCAGACUCCUACGGGAGGCAGCAGUGAGGAAUAUUGGUCAAUGGUCGGGAGACUGAACCAGCCAAGCCGCGUGAGGGAGGAAGGUACAGAGUAUCGUAAACCUCUUUUGUCAGGGGACAAAGACUGGGACGCGUCCCCGGAUGAGUGUGCCUGAAGAAAAAGCAUCGGCUAACUCCGUGCCAGCAGCCGCGGUAAUACGGAGGAUGCGAGCGUUAUCCGGAUUUAUUGGGUUUAAAGGGUGCGCAGGCGGGAGAUCAAGUCAGCGGUAAAAUGUCGGGGCUCAACCCCGGCCGGCCGUUGAAACUGGUUUUCUAGAGUUGGAGAGAAGUAUGCGGAAUUCGUGGUGUAGCGGUGAAAUGCAUAGAUAUCACGAAGAACUCCGAUUGCGAAGGCAGCAUACCGGCUCCAUACUGACGCUGAGGCACGAAAGCGUGGGGAUCGAACAGGAUUAGAUACCCUUGUA
rnacentral:rRNA from 1 species